rnacentral:rRNA from 1 species
GACGAACGCUGGCGGCGUGCCUAAUACAUGCAAGUAGGACGCAGUUGCGAACGGGUGAGUAACGCGUAGGUAACUGCCUAUUAUAGGGGGAUAACUAUUGGAAACGAUAGCUAAUACCGCAUACUAGUAGAUGGACCUGCGUUGUAUUAGCUAGUAGGUAGGGUAAUGGCCUACCUAGGCAACGAUACAUAGCCGACCCUGGAGGGUGAGCGGCCACACUGGGACUGAGACACCGCCCAGACGCCCACGGGAGGCAGCAGUAGGGAAUCUUCGGCAAUUGGGGGAACCCCUACCGAGGCACGCCGCGGGGGUUAAGAAGGUUUUCGGAUCGUAAAGCUCUGUUGUUAAGGAAGCGGUACUUAACCAGAAAGGGACGGCUAACUACGUGCCAGCAGCCGCGGUAAUUC